rnacentral:rRNA from 1 species
UUGAACGCUGGCGGAAUGCUUUACCCAUGCAAGUCGAACGGCAGCACGGGGGCAGCCCUGGUGGCGAGUGGCGAACGGGUGAGUAAUACAUCGGAACGUGCCCGGUCGUGGGGGAUAACGUAGCGAAAGUUACGCUAAUACCGCAUACGAUCUGAGGAUGAAAGCGGGGGACCUUCGGGCCUCGCGCGAUCGGAGCGGCCGAUGUCAGAUUAGGUAGUUGGUGGGGUAAAGGCCUACCAAGCCGACGAUCUGUAGCUGGUCUGAGAGGACGACCAGCCACACUGGGACUGAGACACGGCCCAGACUCCUACGGGAGGCAGCAGUGGGGAAUUUUGGACAAUGGGCGCAAGCCUGAUCCAGCCAUUCCGCGUGCAGGACGAAGGCCUUCGGGUUGUAAACUGCUUUUGUACGGAACGAAAAGGCUCUGGCUAAUACCUGGGGCUCAUGACGGUACCGUAAGAAUAAGCACCGGCUAACUACGUG